rnacentral:pre_miRNA from 1 species
AUACAAAUCACUUGGGAAUCUUUUUAAGAUGCAGAUUCUGGUUAGUAGGUCUGGGGUAGAGCCUGAGAAUUUGCAGGUCAGAAGUGCUCCCACGUGAUGCCAAU